UAUAUAUAUAUUAUGCAUGCCAUUCAGGAAAUUAACCUUGACUAUAUAUACAAAAAGUCUGAAUAUGUAUAACAGAAAGUCUAAAUAUAUAUAUUUAUUUUAUUUUAUGGUCUGUAUUGUCAUUGUACCACGAGGAUACAACAAAACUGAGCCUCUGCUUUUAACAAGGGGAGCAGUGGGCAGCUUUAAAGCUCAACUCAAAAAAAAAAAAAAAAGGAAUGUGAAUGUCAGCGGUCAAUUGUAGGGGCGCGCUGAUAUUGGAACGUUUGUAUAACGGAAGUAGGAAUACGUUGUGCGGUCCUUAUUUCCGGUUGCGGAUCCAAGCGAGCAUCAGUUGUAUUGGAUCACACAUUCAGAUGUGGUGCCUCACCCGGGAUUUCUGCCCUGUCUUUGAUUGCAAAAUACUCAAAUCUGAUGAUUUUUACCUCAGUCAUCCUGAAAAUGCAUAUUUUAACACAGAUCAGUGGAAAAUAUUUAUAUUUAUUUCAUGUACUUUUUUUCAUGAUGAUGGCAGGUGAGGCACUACCUCCCCUGCCUCCCCUGACCGCACGUAUAUAUAUAAAAUAGUCCCUUAUUUAUCCCACAAUGGGGAAACUCAAUGCAGUGCAACUCACCAAAGCUGCCUCAGGAGGCGCCAUUAACAGCCAGUGUGACUGUACUUGCCCCUGCUUGUUCUCUCCCCAUCAUCAUUUAUCUCCCGUCUGCUGUCUCCCCCUGAUUUUUGCAUUUCUUUCUUUGCCAAGGCAGUUGGCUGAACAGUCUGAGUCUGGAGCUGCUGGAAAAUGUUUCCUUUUAAAAGGGAUUUUUUUCUUCUUCUCCCAUUUGUUGCCAAUGUGCUGUUUCAGUGGGUGAUCCAGUUUGGUUUUCAAAAAUAUUUGUAAAAUGUAUUCUGCUCUACUGUGUAAUUUCCCCCUUUUCCCUGUCAUUUCCUAAGGAAGAAUCUGUAACUUUAGUUCAAUGUAAAAACGUGUUUUGUAACUUUUGGUUUGAAAGGAAUGGGCCUGACUUGGCAAAUAUAGUUGUAAUCUAGAUAUAAUACUUAAACAGAGGAGAGUUUGUGAAUAAAAUAAAGUCUUUGGCAAUCAUCCAAACCUGAGUGACAGUAGGAAACAUGAUGCCUCGCCCCAGAUCAUUUCCACUAAUUCCACCUCUUUCAUCAAAAUCCUGGUUUUCCACAGCAUUAGUCCCACACCCAUCCUGGCUGUUCCCAGAAAAACACUUCCUAAAUAUCACAUGUCAAACCACAUUAAAUAUUCACAUUGUCUGAACACUUUAAUAACUUUCAGACAUUUGGAAAAUCUCAACAUUUCUUUAUGAGAAGCUCAGACAGAACAGAGAGAUUUUGAGACUUUAUGUUGUUUUUAAAUGAAAAAUACUUUAGACUAGAAGGUCUGUUCAAUAAUACAUUAACUUAGGACAGAUCCCCCCCCCCAAAAAAAGUUUGAACCAAAAACAUACAAAUGUAGCAGAAAACGAUCAAAAUUUUCAGGUCCACAACAAAUUCGUUAUAAAUGAAACAUAUUUGAAGUCUGGCCAAUCAAAGGUUAAAGUGAUGAUUGCCAUUGAUAAUUUUACAUUUCUGAAUUGAUAACUACAUUAUGUUGUAUAGUGAACUGUGAACACUUUCCAAACACUUUUCAACUUUAUGGAUUGCUUGUUGCUAGGCUUAUGUAGGCUAGGCUACGCUACACUAGGCUACUUACACUUCUUUUCGGAGUAAAAAUACGACCACUCAAAUAAACCGUUUUUGAGUUAUUAUGUAAUGAUUUAUUAAACAAUAAAGUCACUGAUUUUCCUAGAUGGAAUAUUUAAAUAUCUAUGAUACAAUCAUGUUAAACUGGCCAUAAAACUGUUCAAUAACAUAGUCAAACCUCUGCCACAUUUAAAACUUCCAUCACCCCCACACCACGAAUGACAAGUCACAUUACUUCACUUAAGCAGGGCGUAUUUCGCAAUUGAAUCCAUUCAAUUUAAUACAGUUUAAUCUUAUGAAUCAUAAAUUAUUGCUGAUAUGACAGUGUAGAAAAAACAAUGUUACACAAUUACUGACUGCGAGCACAGACACAUAGAUACAAAGUGUAUGAAGAGGUCAGAGGUAUCAUGAAAAUGUCAAGCCUUUAUGGUAACAAUAAUCUUUCUUUCUCUUACAGGAAGUUGCAACUUCAGUUGACCACAGCUGGACUCUCAAACAAGUUCCAUCAUAUUAAAGUCUGAAGACCAGGAUGUCAUGGUCGGUCCUUAAACAGUGUUGUAUGACAGGGAAGAGGAAGAGGUGGACUCAUCUGGCCUGAAAUGGAUUGCUGGUCUGCUUCAUCCUACUGCAGUCACACUAUCUGAGUCACACAAACACGGGGGAACCUCGCCACAGAGGAAGUGAUGCAGUUUUACACACAGCAUUAAAAUAGGUUCUUGUUAAACCACACCAAACACAUGCUUUUAAACCAAGUCACAUUUUUGUGGCCGUGCAGAGUCAACCUAGCUGCCCGACAAAACAAAGUGUAUUUGUUAUGCUGAACGCUAGUUAAAGUGGUUAAAGUGGUUAUGAAACAACAGGCUAUGAUGGAGUACAAAAAAAGAAAAAAAAAUAGGAAGAGUAGGUUGUUGGUAAAAGUCUGGGAUCACCUCUUCAAGUUCUGUUCUCAUGAGCAGAACUGAAGACAAACUUGACCUAAAUGGUUCCCAGUGUUCUAGAGCCGGAACAUAUGUUCAGCAUGGAUCCCUCACCAGUGUUUAUGUGCCGUUUAAUUGGCCUGUUUAAAAUGUAAGCCUUUUUAAACAAUGCUUACAUGAGUGUGUGGCCUAAACAUCUGGUUUGCAGAACUUUAAACUGAUCAAAGAUGGAACAUGAGGCGGUAAAAUAAACAUAAACAUGUAUAAACAUAACAACAAAUAUUGUAAAAUACCAAAGUUUUUUUUUCUCUUCCAGGCAUCUACACAAUAGACCAGGAUGGCAAAUCCAGGACCAGGUUUAUAUGAAACUGGACCUACUGUCAGGCCACCAUAUGUUCCAAUAGACGUCUAGGAAUUCAGUUGGUUUACAAGUGCUCACUCACUCCCAGCUGCCUCUCAACCUCUGCACUCCACCCUGCAGACAUGUGGACAUCAGCUGCAGCACAGGGCCGUACAUUAAAGUCAUGAAAAUAAAGAUAGCAACGAAUCAUCAGUCAAGUGCUGGACUCUUGCACUACAGUAUCUUUGACAUCUUGGAGCAACGACUAAAAGUAGCUCAAUGCUACCACCCUGUGGUAUGUUUGGGAAGUUGAUGCUCAGCCUCAGAGGAAACGUGGUCGACGACUUUCCCUCCACAUUGUAACCGAUUUCAAAUGGUGCUAGACAUGAUGGAGACUCUAAACACCAGAGGAAAACGGUCAGCCUUGGUGAGAGGGGGUCUGUUGAACAGGGAGAUAUAGGUCUCACUGGGGGCGUUGUGACGUCACACAUAUCAGAUAAAUAAUACACAAAGACUCAAACGUUGCCAAAUGUGUCCACAUGGUGAGAGCUGUUCUGAGGUCUGUUCCUUCUCAAGAACACCGAUUUCAAAUGGUGCUAGAAGGGAUUUAAUACUCUAAGACACCAUAUGAAACCAGUUCCCUGGGGAGGAGGCCGAUGGGAGCCAACUUCGAACAGCCUCUUCUGCCAUCUGAAAUUAGAAGACACAAACAUGUUACUGUUGAUAUUAAUGCGCCGGCAAACUUAUAGCCAAACUAACAACAAACUCCACAGACGCACAAGUAAUGUAUUCCAGAACAAUCAAUCAGAGUGGCACUGCCAAACUGCUUAUUGAUUUCCUGUUUAAAGAAUCAUUCUCUGUGAAACAUAUUUAAUUGCCUGUUGAAAAUAGAUGCAGAAAAAUUAACACAAUAACAUGUUGAAUUUGACGGUCCUAUAUAUUAUUAAUUGUGACUCAAUCUUUUGUUAUUUUGGUUCAAAAUGACCGCCGGGACAAGGCUUAAAAAACAAAACAACAACAAAAAGAAUCUCUAAAUUCUGCUCAUGCCAUUCAUUCAACCAUUCAUGUGAAACCUGACGCUGUGCCACUGUUGCACCUUCCUCCAGGCAUAGAAAUGGAAAGAUCAAGAGCUGAUUGACAGCACCGAGGCCAAAUUAAAGAUGAACUACUGAGUCAUGGUCAGCACAUGUGAGAAUGACACAGCGGCUCCAGCCCCUUGCAGUGCAAGUGCAUCAGAAUCUCUGUAUUUGUAAUCAAAGCUGCACAACAAACACCACCAGGAGCAAAAUGUGGCCAUAAAAAGUGAAGAAACUUGGAGGUGACAUCCAUCUGCAGUAUAAUGUAAGGGUGACUGUUAGCCCUGGGAAAAAUAUAGAUAAAGAUAGACAGACAGAUUCUUUA